CCUAUGGAGUGUUAUAUCAAACGAAAGUAGCCAAGAUCAUGGUCAAAUCGGAUACGUCGAAAUAGGAA
rnacentral:ncRNA from 1 species